CCGACGGGUGGAAGAACAACGUAUACCCAACCUGCCGUCUACUUUUGGACAGCCUUUCAAAAGGGAAAGAUUAAUACAAGAUGGCAUCAUGAGUCACAUGUUCACAUGAUUAAAGGUAUUCCGGUAGACGAUGGGGAUGCGUUCCAUUAGAUAGUAGGCGGGGUAACGGCCCACCUAGUCUUCGAUGGAUAGGGGUUCUGAGAGGAAGGUCCCCCACAUUGGAACUGAGACACGGUCCAA
rnacentral:rRNA from 1 species